rnacentral:rRNA from 1 species
GACGAACGCUGGCGGCGUGCUUAACACAUGCAAGUCGAGCGAUGAAACUACUUCGGUGGUGGAUUAGCGGCGAACGGGUGAGGAACACGUGAGGAAUCUGCCUUCAACACUGGGAUAACUCCGGGAAACCGGGGCUAAUACCGGAUACGAGCCCUGAUCGCAUGAUCGGGGCUGGAAAGUUUUUCGGUUGAAGAUGACCUCGCGGCCUAUCAGCUUGUUGGUGAGGUAAUGGCUCACCAAGGCGACGACGGGUAGCCGGCCUGAGAGGGCGACCGGCCACACUGGGACUGAGACACGGCCCAGACUCCUACGGGAGGCAGCAGUGGGGAAUAUUGGGCAAUGGAGGAAACUCUGACACAGCGACGCCGCGUGCGGGAUGAAGGCCUUCGGGUUGUAANCCGCUUUCAGUAGGAANGAAGCGAAAGUGACGGUACCU